AUUUGGGUGUAUGGUAAAAUUAGAAUUCCAUGGUGAGUGCUAAUAAAGUAUUGUUUGAGUACUUUGACAUUCUGCAGGGAAAGUAGCUGGCAUCUUCUCCCCAUGCACCUCACUGAAUUGAGAGUCCUUUAAUGCUGAAAUAAAAAUGGAUGGCCUUGUCUUUAUCCUUUCAUCUCUUUCUCAGCCCUUGGUGUUUCUUGGAUAGCUAGGCUGUUUGGAUUGUGGGUUAUAAGGAAAAGGAAAAAUUCACUUGGGUCGUUCAGUAUGUUGCCGUAUACCUGAACAGGGCAGUGCGUUCCCACUAGCACUAUGUGGUCGGUCAGAACACAUUCUGUGUGUUUUUACUGGACACAACUCGUCAUUUACAAAACAGAUUUCUUCUCCCAGAUGUACUCUCCAAACACACAGCUUAAAGAGGGAAGGGAAGGGACAGCAGGCCGGUUGUGUCACUCAGUCUCUGUAACUAUUGUCCCUGCUGAGGCCUAGGGAGGGGAGGUCUGGCAGGACACUGAAGCAGGCCAGUAAGCACUUAGCAGGUCUAGCUCAAAUAUCCUCGGCAA
rnacentral:lncRNA from 1 species